rnacentral:rRNA from 1 species
GAUGAACGCUGGCGGCGUGCUUAACACAUGCAAGUCGAACGGUGAAGCAGAGCUUGCUCUGUGGAUCAGUGGCGAACGGGUGAGUAACACGUGAGCAACCUGCCCCUGACUCUGGGAUAAGCGCUGGAAACGGCGUCUAAUACUGGAUAUGAGCUGCGACCGCAUGGUCAGCAGUUGGAAAGAUUUUUCGGUCUGGGAUGGGCUCACGGCCUAUCAGCUUGUUGGUGAGGUAAUGGCUCACCAAGGCGUCGACGGGUAGCCGGCCUGAGAGGGUGACCGGCCACACUGGGACUGAGACACGGCCCAGACUCCUACGGGAGGCAGCAGUGGGGAAUAUUGCACAAUGGGCGAAAGCCUGAUGCAGCAACGCCGCGUGAGGGAUGACGGCCUUCGGGUUGUAAACCUCUUUUAGCAGGGAAGAAGCGAAAGUGACGGUACCUGCAGAAAAAGCGCGGGCUAACUACGUG